rnacentral:misc_RNA from 1 species
GUGAAACAUCAAAUUUUUGAACGCAAAUUGCACUUUCUGGUAUUCCGGAAAGUAUGCAUGUUUGAGGGUCAGUUAAAUAAAAAUCGGUGUUGUUGUUGCCUUUCGUGGUGACGCGACGGAAUUGGGUCGUAUUACUUUCGGUUAAGUGACUUAAAAUUUUAGCAUGAUUUUCGAACGUAUUUAAAUCGCUUAUGUCCGAUUGAGAUAUCGAAUGCUUAUUAGGUUUGGUCAUUUC